rnacentral:piRNA from 1 species
UCUUAGGUGUGAGACUCCAGGU